ACACAUGCAGUCGAGGGGUAACAGAUCUUCGGAUGCUGACGACCGGCGAACGGGUGAGUAACACGUAUGCAACUUACCCAUAACUCGGGAAUAGCCCAAAGAAAUUUGGAUUAAUACCCAAUAAUACAGGCGUACCGCAUGGUAUUCUUCGUUAAAGAAUAAUCGGUUAUGGAUAGGCAUGCGUUCUAUUAGGUAGUUGGUGAGGUAACGGCUCACCAAGCCGACGAUGGAUAGGGGAACUGAGAGGUUGUCCCCCCACACUGGUACUGAGACACGGACCAGACUCCUACGGGAGGCAGCAGUGAGGAAUAUUGGUCAAUGGACGAAAGUCUGAACCAGCCAAAUCGCGUGAAGGAAGAAGGUAUUAUGUAUCGUAAACUUCUUUUGUAAGAGAGUAAAGUGCACUACGUGUAGUGUAUUGCAAGUACCUUACGAAUAAGCAUCGGCUAAUUCCGUGCCAGCAGCCGCGGUAAUACGGAAGAUGCAAGUGUUAUCCGGAUUUAUUGGGUUUAAAGGGUGCGUAGGUGGUCUAAUAAGUCAGUGGUGAAAUCUCUUUGCUUAACAAGGAAAUUGCCAUUGAAACUGUUAGACUUGAGAAUGGACGAGGUAGGCGGAAUUCGUAGUGUAGCGGUGAAAUGCAUAGAUAUUACGAAGAACUCCAAUAGUGUAGACUGCUUACCAGACCAUAUCUGACACUAAGGCACGAAAGUGUGGGUAUCAAACAGGAUUAGAUACCCUGGUAGUCCACACAGUAAACGAUGAAUACUAACUGUUUGCGAUAUACAGCAAGUGGUCGAGCGAAAGCGUUAAGUAUUCCACCUGGGAAGUAUGCCGGCAACGGUGAAACUCAAAGGAAUUGACGGGGGCCCGCACAAGCGGAGGAACAUGUGGUUUAAUUCGAUAAUACGCGAGGAACCUUACCCGGGCUCGAACGAUAUUUGAAUACAUCCGAAAGAUGU
rnacentral:rRNA from 1 species